rnacentral:lncRNA from 1 species
GUAAUCUUUACGAGACUUUUUAGAUGUGUGCCUUUUCGAGAUCUAUUUAAGUAAAAUGUACUUGAAAUAAUAGGAAACAUGUCUUUAAACUAAAAAAAAAAAAGUAGUUUCGUAAGCAUUUAACAUUACACAAAUGACUGAUCAGUCGAAGUUAGCAGAGAUGUUUAUUCUGUGUCGGGGUUUGGCUUUACAGGAGUUUGGGGAAAGUGCCAUGCGGUAAUCGCUUUAGUUACUUUUCUUUCAUUUUAAGGAGUUUGACAUCGACAUUGAGCUCAUUUAUGACUCCGAUGCUUCUCUCUGUCAUGAAUCUUCUCCGUCAGAGGCCAGCAGCACCGAAAAAGGAGUUUGACAUCAAAAUUGAGCUCUCAUUAUGACUGGGGCACUACUGAACUGUUAUCAUGAUCUGGAUGAUGAAGAUGCCUUGCAAGUCCAAGAAGAUGCAAUCACUUCCCAUCAAAAAUCCCACACCUCUGAAAUGAAAAUUCUGUCAUUUACUCGUUUGUCACUCCAAACCCAUAAGACUUUUAUUCAUCUUCAAAACACAAAUGAACAUAUUUUAAAUGAAAUCCUUUGACAGUCCAUGCAACUAUACCACUUUGAUGCUUUAAAAUGUUCAUAAUCGAGCAGUUUUUUAAUUCAAAUUUUCCUAAGAGCCAUGAUUGCUUUAUAUGAUGAACAGUUUGAAUUUAGCAUUUUAUUAACAUAUAAACGUUGAUCAGUGAACAUAAACAGAAGUACUUGCUUGACACAUAAGAACAACCCUCAUUGGUUCCUGCAGAAGCUCAAACGUGCUGCGUAACACAAGAAUGAAUCUCAUUGGUUCUCAAACAUCAAGCAAGAAUGCUUGAGCUUCCGCUUACCAUAACUGAUCUGCAUUGACGGAUGUGUAUAUGUCAAUAAAAGCUAAGCUAGAUCUGUUCUUUAUAUAAAGUGAUCGAGUCUCUUCAGAAAAUGUCGACUAAACUGCUCAAUUCUUAUGGAUUAGUUUUACGAUCUCUCUAUGAACUUUUUGAAGAGUCAAAGUGGUCAUUGCAUAAACUGUCAAGGGAGGGACAGACAACUCUCAGAUUUCAUUAAAAAUAUCUUCAUCUGUGUUCUGAAGAUGAACAAAAGUCGUAUGGGUUUGGAACAACAUCAGGGUGAGUAAAUGAUGACAGAAUUUUCAUUUUUGGGUGAACUAACCCAAGUGAAGUGUGCUCAGCUAGUAGUAGUAAGUGUUAAGAUAUUGUGGACUGCAGAACAUACAUUUUAAGUUUCAACAUUUACUCUGUAAAACACUAUUGCUGUUCAUUUUUAUUUGCUGAUGUAAUGUUUUUAAAGAAAUUGAAUUUGAUAUUUUAGCAAUGUUCUAAACACUAUAUGUGACCCUGGACCACAAAACCAGUCAUAAGGGUCAAUUGUUCGAAAUUGGGAUUUGUACAUCAUCACAGCUGAAUAAAUAAGCUUUCCAUUGAUGUAUGGUUUGUUAGGAUAGGACAAUAUUUGGCCAAGAUACAAUUAUUUGAAAACCUGGAAUCUGAGGGUGCAAAAAAUCGCCUUUAAAGUUGUCCAAAUGAAGUUUUCUAUGCAAUGCAUAUUACUAAUCAAAAAUUUAGUUUUAAUAUAUUUACAGUAGGAUAUUUACAAAAUAUCUUCAUGGAAUAUGAUCUUUACUUAAUAUACUAAUGAUUUUUGGCAUAAAAGAAAACUCAAUCAUUUUGACCCAUACAAUGUAUUGUUGGCUAUUGCUACAAAUAUACCCCAGCGACUUAAGACUGGUUUUGUGGUCCAGGGUCACAUAUAAACUGUUUUACAUAGUUCAAGUAUUAUCCUGAGUGAGUCCAUCAUAUAAUUUAGGUGUUUUUUUGUUGUUGUUUUUGGUUGUUUUUCCCGAUGAAGCCUGUGAACAGCUUUAUGUAAAGGGGAAUACAUUAAUCUGAAAAGGAUGUGUGGUAACACUUUAGAAUUAGGGAACACAUCCACUAUUAACUAAGAGUUUUCCCUCGAUAAAAUGAAUAGUUUGUUAAGGUUUUAAGGUUUUUGUUAAGUUUAGGCAUGAGGUUGUUAAUAUGUUAAUACAUUAAUAUGCGCUUUAUAAGUACUAAUAAACAGUCAAUAUGCUAGCAAUAUGCAUGCUAAUAAGCAACUAGACAAGCUAAUAGUUAUUAGUGAGAAUUGGUCUCUAAGCGAAAGUGUUACCAGUAGUGUUAAUGUUACUCUGUAAUUUGCAUUGUUGCACUGUUGUAACAUUGUAAAGUGAAUAACUGUUUUGUUUUGAGACGCUUGUUUACUGUUUCAUUACACUAUUGUUGAAAAAUUUAGAAAUAUUUAAAUACAGAUUGAAUACUUUUUUCAAAUAAAAAAAUGUGGCUUAUAAUGAUAAAUAGGUAAAUAUUACUUUAAAAACAACAAGGUUUAUGUUUGAUGAAAACUAUAGUUGGUAAAUUGAAAAACAUUGAGUUGCCAAUUGAAAAUGAAUUUGAGUUGCCAUUACUUAAGAGUUCAAGUUGGAAGCAUGUAGAGUCUAAUAGAACAAACAAGAAUAAAAUUAGCUCAAAACUUAAAAAGCUGAUGCAAAUAGGUGCC